GGGGUUGUGGCCAAGUUUGGGAAGGCGUCAGACGUGAGAUCUGAAGAUCGCUGGUGAGCCCGGCUCACCCCA
rnacentral:tRNA from 1 species